UCCAGGGCCUCCGGGUCCACCAGGGGAUCCGGGGCCUGCGGGUCCACCAGGGGAUCCGGGACCUCCGGGUCCACCAGG